GUCGCUUUAGAUCAUUUGGGAGAUCGUCAGACUGAAGUAUAACUUCAAUCAUCAAAUCUGAAGGUAGUGUGUUCGAUCCACACAAGCGACA